UACAGAGGGUGCGAGCGUUAAUCGGAAUUACUGGGCGUAAAGCGUGCGUAGACGGUUAUUUAAGUCGGGUGUGAAAGCCCCGGGCUCAACCCGGGAAUUGCAUUCGAGACUGAAUAGCUAGGGUACGGUAGAGGGAAGUGGAAUUUCCGGUGUAGCGGUGAAAUUCGUAGAUAUUGGGUGGAACACCGGUGGCGAAAGCGGCUCUCUGGUCCGGACCUGACGCUGAGGCGCGAAAGCGUGGGGAGCAAACAGG
rnacentral:rRNA from 1 species